rnacentral:lncRNA from 1 species
GGGAGGUUACCUCUGGGGAUGGAUUCAGUAAUUUUUAUUUUCUACGUUAACAUAUACAGCUUUUGUAAUCAGAACAAAAAUCUUAAAAGACAAAACCACAUCGCUGGCUUCCGGGCUGCCCACGCCCGCCUCUGAGUUUGUUCUGGGAGCCGGGGAACAGCCAGCGCCAGGCCGGCAGGCCCCCGGGCGCCUGCCUCCCCCGGGACCUGGGUCUUCUCACUGCGCUGUCCGUACCUUCCAUGAGCCCGCUCUUCUGCGGGCAUCGAUUUUUCCAUCCUUCAGAGAAGCACCUGAGGAAAGAAAAGAGCAUCUCUGAAUCAAUGAGCAGAGCCCUGCAGCCAGGGCUAGGGCCGGCUACGCGCUUGUCACUGCCCCCUGCCUAGGACCCGGGGCAGGGGGCGGGGGCCCGCCCUUCUGCCUCGUGCCUCCUCCGGGCCCAGGCCCCACGCCUUCAGCCCCCAUAAGGGCCCCCACCAACGACUCUGGCUCCAGCUCCGCUUCAGGCCCGACAUCCCAGCCAGCGGCACGCAGGGCCCAGACGUCUCCCAGCGCCUGAGCCUGACUCGGGGCUCAGCAAGCGCACGCCCUUGGCUGGGGCCUCCACCCCUCUCAGUGUUCUCACCUGUCAAGUGGGCCCCUCCUGGCCGUGGGAUUCCUCCCAGAAAACCCUGCGGCCGAAGGACUCAGGGGAAUGAAGAGCAGGCGUUCAGUCCAAGUGCACAUCCUGGAGCAGCUCCCCAGGCUCACUUCAGUCCAGCGGGGGUUCUCCCACAGCAGCUGUUCCUGCCCUCUCCACACCGAUCACACGGGAGGAACGUACUUGAAAUCAGACCCAAACUCCUCUCCGUGGCCUGCACACCCCUCCUUCCCUCUGCUCCAGCUGACUUUCUGCUCUUCUUACACGCCAGGCAUAUUCUUGCCUCAGGGCCUUUGCAUCUGCCAUUCCCUCCGCCUGGCCUACUCUGUCUCUAUGUCUCUAUGGCUGGGCCCUGCUCAUCCUUCAGCUCAGAGACCCCCCCCCACCCACGGAGGCCCUGCUCACUGUGCUCUCUCUGUACUCGCUCAGUCCCUCACUAACACGCCACUUAUCAAUAACUAAAAUUAUCUUAACGUUUUUGUCUACGGGGCUCUUGUUUGUGUCUUAAUCACCACGUAGAAGGGACUCAAAGCUUUGUAGGAAAUGAGGGAGGGAGGGUCCAUGGAGAUCGACCUGGCUUGCUGGAUUCCAACCUGCACAGUUCCAUUUAUUAACCACUUACUCUGUGCCAGGGCCCAGCCCAAACUCUAGCGAGCGGGUGACCCUGGGCAGCACCUCUCAGACCCCCAGCUCUCCACCUGCAGAGUGGAAGGCAGCCCCGAGGCUCUGAGGGGUCCUCCCCUUCAUCUCAGGCUACCUGAGACUUGGCACUCUGAAGAGCCCCGGGGAGGUGGGACCUCCUGAGGCCAGCUACUCUCCCGCACCCGCCUUAGCAGGGAGCACCUUUGCGCUGGAGGACACCUCCUCCGGGAGGCCUCUCGGCUGGGCCUCUCCUGGAGCCCUGGCCACACCAUGAUUGCUUACUUCUCCCUGCCUCAUUAGCUAUGUGCUCGCAGAGGCUGAACCAGCUCAGUGGGGGACACCCUGCAGUGCAGUCCGGAGCUCGCCCCCUGGGCCAAGGUCUGGGAUGGGUCUUCCAACUCCCCCGCGGACUUGCUCGCCACGGGAAGAAGUCACGCCCUUCUGUGCAUUUUGGGAGCCCUGGGAGCUGUGUACCGGCCCCAGGCGCACCGGACUCCGGCAGCCCUUGCAGGACGUUCGAGGCCUCUCCUGGUGUUUGCGCGGAGGCCCGACGUCGUGAUGGUGGAGCGUCUGCGCCUCUGCGAAGGCAGCGCCCGGGGUCCGUGUUUAUUUCAGCUGCGGCGUCCCUGGGGCGCCUCUGGAGGGGGCGCGGACGGCAGAGCACUGUGUGGGCAGCCAGCUUCCCUGUCUUCACUCUUCCCACCCAAGCCCCCGGGGAAAACAAUCCCCACCCGCCAGAAGCCUGGCGAAGCCGCCGAGCUGGAAAAGCCGGUUCUGGGAAGGGAAGGGGGGCGGGCGCUCCCGAGGCGCCAGGGCCGCUGCCGCGAGCUCUUCUCCCCAGCCCGGCGGCCCUUGGCCUCCCAGGGCGGUCCCUCGGAGGUUCCUUCUCCGGGAGGCCGGCUGCUGCCAAGGCCACCUGAGCAACGACCCCUGCAGGGUCCUGGCGCUCCUGGGGGCCGCUGGGAAGGGACAGUUCCUGCACCGGCGGGGAGGGGCGGGGCGAAGGGCCCCCCGGGCGCUGGGUCAGAGCCAGGCCUGGGGGCGCAUCUCGGCGCGGGGGCCGCGGGGUGGGGUCGGGGCGGGUGCCGAGCGCCCGCGGGGUGCCCAGCUCUGCCGCCGCCGGGCCUCGGACCGGCCCCGGGUGGCGUUUCCUCCGCGGGGCCGCCGCGCACGCGCCCGGCUGCCGGGAGCGCACCGCGUGUGCCCAGCGCGCCAUGGCCGGGCCGGGCGCGCGCUGUCUGUGCCUGACUGUUUCUUUCACUAGAGGUUGCUCACUUUCGCUUCUUGGGUCCUGGCGGCUCCUCGGGCGGCUCCGUGAGCGCGCGCGCGCGUGUGCGUGUGCGCGUGUGCCCGCACGCGCCCGGCGAUCGCCCCCGGCCGCCCUGCGCCCUGCAGGAACGUUCGCCCCGCUGCGUCCGUCCGUGAACAGGCGUCCCCCCUCCGCUGCCUCCGACUCUCCCCACUUGCUGGGUCUUUACAAAAACUAUUCGCCGCUGAAGCCGCUGCCACUUCUCCUGACCCCAGAGGCCUCUGUGCGUCCCCGCCACCCCCAACAGGAAACCGAGGCCAGGAUGGAUGGAGUCUUGCUCCACUGAGCAGGAAGCCACAUCCUGUGGAGGCUGGAGACUUUUGCUUGAAAAACAGGUCCCUGCCCCGGCGCCCGCCCGCCUGCAGCCGAGAGGGGAGCUUCCAGACGGGGGUGAGGCCCCCGCACCCACUUCAGCCGCCUGAGCCUGGCUCUGUGUCUGGUGAACUGGCCAUCCUUCCUUCUCCCCAGCAGGCGAGCCAUGAAGAACGGGCCCCGCAGGGCCGGCCUGCAGCCUCAGCCGAGUGCGUCCACAGCCAUUAGCGGGAGGCCCCAGCCUGGCUGAUCAGGGCCAACGCACAGCCCACCCCUCACUCUGCUCCCGGGGGGGCUGCCCGGCAAAGCUCCACCCUUGGGGAGAGAACAGGAGCUGAGAAGGAAACGGAGGUUCCAGGGCCAGCAUGGACGUUUGUGUAGGUUGUUCACUGCACAAUGGGGCUGCUCAGGGGGCAUGUGGAGCUGCAGUUCAGCCAGCCCUCACUCGCCGGGCGGAGGGCCCUGGCACCAGCUGCGUCCGCACAGGACAUGGUGCCUGCUCCUGAUCCAUUUGAAGGAGCUCCAGGGGAGGGCUGGGCCUGCCUUGGUCUUGGGAAGACGCCACCUGAGAACUCGAGGCCCUACCUCGUCCCUUUUCUUAAUUGCGUUUUUACUGACUUCUUUUUGGAGCACAUACGUAUGUAUUUUAUCACAUGGGUGCAUUUGUGUAGCCACUGCCACAAGCAGGAUACACAACAGUUCCAUCACCCCAAAACUCCCUGGUGCUGUCCUUUUGUCAGCACGUCCCCCCUCUUUCCUGACCCCUGGCAGCCCCUGGUCUGUUCUCCGCGGCCGCAGUUUUCCCUGUAGACGGUGGAAGCAGACAGUCCGGGCUGAGAUGGGCCUCUCCUACGCAGCGUCCGGGCCCGAGACCCACCCGGGUUGUUGUCUGUAUCAGUGGUUUGUGCCUUUUUGGUGCUGAAUAGCAGCACGUGGUGUGGACGCCCCAGUGUGUUUGUCCACCCACCCACUGAUGGGUGUCCGAGCUGUUUCCAGUCCCGGGCUGUCACCGAUCCAGCCACUGUGGACAUUCAUGCCUCUGUGUCCAUGAACACACACGUCUGUGCACGGAGCUGUGUUUCCUGGCUCUGGGAUCGAUGCCUGGCGGCAGACAGCUGCCACAUGGCAAGAGUUUGACUAACUUUCUAAGAACUUGCCAAGCGGUUUUCCAGAGCAGCUGUGCCAUUCUGCACCUUCGUCCUUGGUGUCUGAGUUCUGGUUGCUCUGUGUGCUUGUCAGCACUUGCUAUUGUCAGGAUUUAAUAUUUUAGCCACUGAGUGGCGUGGAGUGGUGUCUCGUCACGGUUUUGAUUUUCACAUCCUGGUGGCUAAGAAUGUUGAGCAUCUUUUCAUGCCCCUAUUUGUUAUCUGUGUAUCUUCUCCGAUAAAGUGUCUGUACAAGUCCUUUGCCCAUUUUUAAACUGGGCUUUCUUUUAGCUGUCGCGUUUUCAGAGUUCUUUAUACCUUCUGGAUACAAGUCCUUUGUCAGAUGUGGAAUUUGCAAAUAUUUUCUCACGACCUAUGGCCUGUCUUUCCAUUCCCUGAACAGUUUCUUUCACAAAGCAAAAGUUCUUAAUUUUGAAGAAGUAAAAUUAAUCUUUUAUGGAUUGUGUUUUAUUUCCAUGUCUAAGAACUCUUUGCCUAACCCCAAGUUCCUAAGAUUUUCUCCCAAGUUUUCUAAAAGUUUUUUUUUUUUUUUUAAAGAUUGGCACCUGAGCUGACAUCUGUUGGCAAUCUUUUUUCUUCUUCUUCUUCUCCCCAAAUCCCCUGGUACAUAGUUGUAGACUCUAGUUGUGGGUCCUUCUAGUUGUGGCAUGUGGGACGCCACCUCAGCAUGGCUUGAUGAGCGGUUCCAUGUCCGCACCCAGGAUCCGAACCAGCAAAACCCUGGACCACCCAAGUGGAGUGCGAACUUAACCACUCGGCCACAGGCUCACCAUCUAAAAGUUUUAUAGUCACAGAUCUCACAUUUUGGGUCUAUGAUCCAUUGUGAGUUGACUUUUUGUAUAUGGUCUUCCUUCCUUCCUUCCUUUCUUUCUUCCUUUUUCUUUUCUUUUCUUUUCUUUUCUUUUGUAGAUGGAUGUCCAACUAUCCGUCAGUAUUUAUUACAUGAAUGAUUACAGCAGUUGAACACUUGUUUUGUUAAAAAAAGAACCUCAACCUAAACUUCAUAUCUUAUACAAAAUUUAACUCCCGGUGGAUCGUAGACUUAAGUGCACGAGGUAAAGGCGACAGGCGACCACGUCUGUCUCCUGUGAGACUCUCAGCCCAGCUCCACUGGCAGCUGACGUCGAAGUGGUGAGACUUACGCAGCACAAAGGGUAAAUCAAGUGAGAACCCUCUAUGGCCACACUUGCCGUGUCCGGGUUUGAGGACGGGAGUGAGGGACCCAACAGUUACCAAACGUGAACUCUGCACCGAGUACUCCACUCAAUGCUUUCUUUGCA